CAUAACGACUCUCGGCAACGGAUAUCUCGGCUCUCGCAUCGAUGAAGAACGUAGCAAAAUGCGAUACGUGGUGUGAAUUGCAGGAUCCCGUGAACCAUCGAGUUUUUGAACGCAAGUUGCGCCCGAAGCCUUUAGGCCGAGGGCCGUCUGCCUGGGCGUCACGC
rnacentral:rRNA from 1 species